UCAGCAGCCGCGGUAAUACGUAGGGAGCGAGCGUUGUCCGGAAUCACUGGGCGUAAAGGGCACGCAGGCGGUUCGACAAGUCAAAUGUGAAAUACACUGGCUUAACCAGUGGACGGCGUUUGAAACUGUCGAACUAGAGGGCAGGAGAGGAGAGUAGAAUUCCUAGUGUAGCGGUGAAAUGCGUAGAUAUUAGGAAGAAUACCAGUAGCGAAGGCGACUCUCUGGACUGACCCUGAACGCUGAGGUGCGAAAGCGUGGGUAUCAAACGGGAUUAGAUACCCCGGUAGUCCACGCUGUAAACGCUGGAUAUUAGGUGUUGUGGGUUAGA
rnacentral:rRNA from 1 species